CGCGGCCUAUCAGCUUGUUGGUGAGGUAGUGGCUCACCAAGGCUUCGACGGGUAGCCGGCCUGAGAGGGUGACCGGCCACAUUGGGACUGAGAUACGGCCCAAACUCCUACGGGAGGCAGCAGUGGGGAAUAUUGCACAAUGGGCGGAAGCCUGAUGCAGCAACGCCGCGUGCGGGAUGACGGCCUUCGGGUUGUAAACCGCUUUCAGUGGGGACGAAGUCUUUUGUGACGGUACCCACAGAAGAAGCACCGGCUAACUACGUGCCAGCAGCCGCGGUGAUACGUAGGGUGCGAGCGUUGUCCGGAUUUAUUGGGCGUAAAGAGCUUGUAGGCGGUUUGUCGCGUCGGGAGUGAAAACUCAGGGCUUAACUCUGAGCUUGCUUUCGAUACGGGCUGACUUGAGGAAGGUAGGGGAGAAUGGAAUUCCUGGUGAAGCGGUGGAAUGCGUAGAUAUCAGGAGGAACACCGGUGGCGAAGGCGGUUCUCUGGACCUUUCCUGACGCUGAGAAGCGAAAGCGUGGGGAGCAAACAGGCUUAGAUACCCUGGUAGUCCACGCUGUAAACGGUGGGUACUAGGUGUGGGGGACAUUCCACGUUCUCCGUGCCGUAGCUAACGCAUUAAGUACCCCGCCUGGGGAGUACGG
rnacentral:rRNA from 1 species